rnacentral:rRNA from 1 species
GAUGAACGCUGGCGGCGUGCCUAAUACAUGCAAGUCGAGCGAACGGACGAGAAGCUUUCUUUUCUGAUGUUAGCGGCGGACGGGUGAGUAACACGUGGAUAACCUACCUAUAAGACUGGGAUAACUUCGGGAAACCGGAGCUAAUACCGGAUAAUAUUUUGAACCGCAUGGUUCAAAAGUGAAAGACGGUCUUGCUGUCACUUAUAGAUGGAUCCGCGCUGCAUUAGCUAGUUGGUAAGGUAACGGCUUACCAAGGCAACGAUGCAUAGCCGACCUGAGAGGGUGAUCGGCCACACUGGAACUGAGACACGGUCCAGACUCCUACGGGAGGCAGCAGUAGGGAAUCUUCCGCAAUGGGCGAAAGCCUGACGGAGCAACGCCGCGUGAGUGAUGAAGGUCUUCGGAUCGUAAAACUCUGUUAUUAGGGAAGAACAUAUGUGUAAGUAACUGUGCACAUUUUGACGGUACCUAAUCAGAAAGCCACGGCUAACUACGUG